UGGGGAAUAUUGCACAAUGGGCGCAAGCCUGAUGCAGCCAUGCCGCGUGUAUGAAGAAGGCCUUCGGGUUGUACAGUACUUUCAGUCGGGAGGAAGGUGGUAAGGUUAAUAACCUUAUCAAUUGACGUUACCGACAGAAGAAGCACCGGCUAACUCCGUGCCAGCAGCCGCGGUAAUACGGAGGGUGCAAGCGUUAAUCGGAAUUACUGGGCGUAAAGCGCACGCAGGCGGUUGAUUGAGUCAGAUGUGAAAUCCCCGGGCUCAACCUGGGAACUGCAUCUGAUACUGGCAAGCUUGAGUCUCGUAGAGGGGGGUAGAAUUCCAGGUGUAGCGGUGAAAUGCGUAGAGAUCUGGAGGAAUACCGGUGGCGAAGGCGGCCCCCUGGACGAAGACUGACGCUCAGGUGCGAAAGCGUGGGGAGCAAACAGG
rnacentral:rRNA from 1 species